AAAGAUUUGGUAGAAAUGAGCCCUGGUGUGCAGCAUCCCUUGAGGGGUCUGUUUCUUCGAAAUUACCUUCUUCAGUGUACCAGAAAUAUCUUACCUGAUGAAGGAGAGCCAACAGAUGAAGAAACAACUGGAGAUAUCAGUGAUUCCAUGGAUUUUGUACUGCUCAACUUUGCAGAAAUGAACAAGCUCUGGGUGCGAAUGCAGCAUCAGGGACAUAGCCGAGAUAGAGAAAAAAGAGAAUGAGAAAGACAAGAACUGAGAAUUUUAGUGGGAACAAAUUUGGUGCGCCUCAGUCACCUGGAAGGUGUAAAUGUGGAACGUUACAAACAGAUUGUUUUGACUGGCAUAUUGGAGCAAGUUGUAAACUGUAGAGAUGCUUUGGCUCAAGAAUAUCUCAUGGAGUGUAUUAUUCAGGUUUUCCCUGAUGAAUUUCACCUCCAGACUUUGAAUCCUUUUCUUCGGGCCUGUGCUGAGUUACACCAGAAUGUAAACAUGAAAAGCAUAAUCAUUGCUUUAAUUGAUAGAUUAGCUUUAUUUGCUCACCGUGAAGAUGGACCUGGAAUCCCAGCGGAUAUUAAACUGUUUGAUAUGUUUUCACAGCAGGUGGCUACAGUGAUACAGUCUAGACAAGACAUGCCUUCAGAGGAUGUUGUAUCUUUACAAGUCUCUCUCAUUAAUCUUGCCAUGAAAUGUUACCCUGAUCGUGUGGACUAUGUUGAUAAAGUUCUAGAAACAACAGUGGAGAUAUUCAAUAAGCUCAACCUUGAACAUAUUGCUACCAGUAGUGCAGUUUCAAAGGAACUCACCAGACUUCUGAAUAUACCAGUUGACACAACAAUAUUUUAACAGUCUUGAAAUUAAAACAUUUUCACCCACUCUUUGAAUACUUUGACUACGAGUCCAGAAAGGGCAUGAGUUGUUAUGUGCUUAGGAAUGUUCUGGAUUAUAACACAGAAAUUGUCUCUCAAGACCAGGUGGAUUCCAUAAUGAAUUUGGUAUCCACGUUGAUUCAAGAUCAGCCAGAUCAACCUGUAGAAGACCCUGAUCCAGAAGAUUUUGCUGAUGAGCAGAGCCUUGUGGGCCGCUUCAUUCAUCUGCUGCGCUCUGAGGACCCUGACCAGCAGUUCUUGAUUUUGAACACAGCACGAAAACAUUUUGGAGCUGGUGGAAAUCAGCGGAUUCGCUUCACCUGCCACCUUUGGUAUUUGCAGCUUACCAGCUGGCUUUUCAUAUAAAGAGAAUUCUAAAGUGGAUGACAAAUGGGAAAAGAAAUGCCAGAAGAUUUUUUCAUUUGCCCACCAGACUAUCAGUGCUUUGAUCAAAGCAGAGCUGGCAGAAUUGCCCUUAAGACUUUUUCUUCAAGGAGCACUAGCUGCUGGGGAAAUUGGUUUUGAAAAUCAUGAAACAGUCACAUAUGAAUUCAUGUCCCAGGCAUUUUCUCUGUAUGAAGAUGAAAUCAGUGAUUCCAAAGCACAGCUAGCUGCCAUCACCUUGAUCAUUGGCACUUUUGAAAGGAUGAAGUGCUUCAGUGAAGAGAAUCACGAACCUCUGAGGACUCAGUGUGCCCUUGCUGCAUCCAAACUUCUAAAGAAACCUGAUCAGGGCCGAGCUGUGAGCACCUGUGCACAUCUCUUCUGGUCUGGCAGAAACACGGACAAAAAUGGGGAGGAGCUUCACGGAGGCAAGAGGGUAAUGGAGUGCCUAAAGAAAGCUCUAAAAAUAGCAAAUCAGUGCAUGGACCCCUCUCUACAAGUGCAGCUUUUUAUAGAAAUUCUGAACAGAUAUAUCUAUUUUUAUGAAAAGGAAAAUGAUGCGGUAACAAUUCAGGUUUUAAACCAGCUUAUCCAAAAGAUUCGAGAAGACCUCCCGAAUCUUGAAUCCAGUGAAGAAACAGAGCAGAUUAACAAACAUUUUCAUAACACACUGGAGCAUUUGCGCUUGCGGCGGGAAUCACCAGAAUCUGAGGGGCCAAUUUAUGAAGGUCUCAUCCUUUAAAAAGGAAACGGCUCACCAUACUCCUUUCCAUGUACACCCAGUGAGGGUUUUAUUACGCUAGGUUUCCCUUCCAUAGAUUGUGCCUUUCAGAAAUGCUGAGGUAGGUUUCCCGUUUCUUACCUGUGAUGUGUUUUACCCAGCACCUCCGGACACUCACCUUCAGGACCUUAAUAAAAUUAUUCACUUGGUAAGUGUUCAAGUCUUUCUGAUCACCCCAAGUAGCAUGACUGAUCUGCUAUUUAAAAUUCCUGUGAUCUUUAAAAAAAAAAAAAGCAAAACCCACAAAAAAACCCACAAGCACUUAUCUUGGCUACUAAUGAAACUCUCCUUCUUUUUUUUUUUUUUUUUGCUUCAUUGUUGAUUGUGUAUUUUCUUCAUUCCUGGGGAGUACUAACCCAAAAGUGUCUGUCUCUCUUGUUUUCUAGUCCAAUUUGAGAUUAAUUUAGAAGAAAGGAAUAGUGUAUGUGAAAUUCAUCUUGGGCUUUUCCCUAAAUUGCAAGAUAAGGCCAUGUGUAAGAUUUUCCCUAAAACUAGAAUAUAUUAAUGCAUGUUUGAGAAUUUUAAAGCACCAUGGUCAAAACCAGAAGAUAUAUUUUGCAUAUUUGGACUCAGCCAUCCAUUAAGAACCUACAUUGUCCUCUGGACAUAUUUAUCAAUAUAAUUGGGUUUUAAAUAGUAUAAAAGAAAAUUUGUGAUCUAUAUAAUUUAUGUAUCACCUUCAUUGUAAAUUUAGCAGGAAAUGCAUCACAAUUAUGAUUUUUUUUUGCACCAGUGAAACAAUAAAGAUGCUAUUAACAAUUUUGGAGCUUUUUCCCCCUUUCAUACUAUCUUUAAUUGAUAAAAAGAACUAGUAGAAUGGCUAUAGAGUUUAAUAGUCAUUCUCAUAUAUUCACAGAGCUCACUUAACUCUAGUUUUAAGCACUUGUUGAGCAAGGCAGCAUCUACUCUUUUUAGUCAUUUAUACCCCUUUUCUUUCCUCAACUUUACCCUGCUUUUCCCAAGGCAUGUUGAAUUCACAUAAACCCCCCAAAGGCUCACCACCGAUACUAGUUACCUACUAUGUAAUAAACCAUCCCAAAACUUAGUGUCUUAAAACAGCAAACAUUUAUCUCACAGGUCUCUGGAUCAGGAAUUUGGGAGCAGCUUAGCUGGUGGUUCUGGCGAAGAGUGUGGUAUAAGGUUGCAAGCAAGAUACUGGUUGGGGCUGCAGUCAUCUGAUGCUUUGACUGGGGCUGACUUUUCUGCUCACUGACUUGGCUGUUAGGCAGAGGCCUCAGUUCCUCUCCUUGACGGCCCUUCUAUAGAGUUCCUCACAGCAUGGUGGCUGGCUUUCCCCUGAGUAUGAAAGCAAGAAGGAAACCACAGUGCCUUUCAGUGGCCUCCCCGUGGAAGUGACGUGCUCAUUUUUGCCUUAUUCUGUAAGUGGGGAGUCACUAAGUCUAGCCUAUAUUCAAGGGUAAGGAGAAUUAAGCUCCACCUCUUGAAGGGAGAAUUUAUAGACAUUUUCAAAUGACUACAUCACUUAACCCCUCACCAUCUGCCUUCCCAUUGCUAGCACUUGAUGACUAGCCCUUGCUGGGCUUUACAUGAACAGAUGUUUCCCAAAGUUAUAAAAUUAGUACCACUAAAAUGUAUCAAAUGUUAAGCCAUUCUGUGGUAUGUCAUAGUCCAGCAAACCCUUUCUGUUCUUUGCAGGUGUUAGUUUACCCAGUAUAAACCUGAUUAUGGCUUGACAUGUCCAUAUUAUUUAUAUGUUUUGUGAAAUACAACUGGAAUAGUAGAAAAGACAUGAGUCGAGAAUACUUGAAUCAAAGAGGUUGGUUUGCAAGUAAAAUAAUGUCAGUACAGUGUAUAAAUUAUCUCUCAUUUUCUGGUUUGAGGUAAACCCAAUUUUAAAAAUAAUAAACCAACAAAAGUAAAUAAAAAGUGAAACAAGCACUGCUAGUAUCCUUAACUUACAGAUUUUUUUUGUUGAACAAAAACUGGGUACCAGAUAUAGUUAGGCACUGAAUCUAAAGGUGAAGAAGAUCGUAGUCCCUAGCUUCAAGAACGUUAGUCUGCUGUGAAGACAGACCCGUAGUUACAGAAGAUGGUAAGGGUAUGCCCCGGAGAGCAGUGAAGAAGAGCUUUGAGGGAUUGGAGAUGGGGAAGUUCUGCAGAGGGUUGUAUGAAUUCUCAUGGAACGUCAAGUCCAAUAGUUGAUUUAGUCUUCUGAGGCCAGUGCUUUGGCCUACAGUCCCAGGCUACUCAGAUAGAACCAUGGGCUGAAGCAAGUUAUACUCUUGGCUGUCUGUAGUGAAAUAGAUACUUAGAAAUUGACUUAGCAUUUAAAACCUUUUAUAGCAAUUUGACAGAGUAAUUUUAUGUCUAUUGGAUAUAAUAAACAUUUGGCUUUGUGUUUUGUGUGUCUGCUA